rnacentral:rRNA from 1 species
AGGAUGAAUGCUGGCGGCGUGCCUAAUACAUGCAAGUCGAGCGGUAAGGCCCUUCGGGGUACACGAGCGGCGGACGGCUGAGUAACGCGUGGGAACAUGCCCCAAAGUGAGGGAUAAGCAUCGGAAACGGUGUCUAAUACCGCAUAUGGUCUUCGGAUUAAAGGAUUUAUCCGCUUUGGGAGUGGCCCGCGUACGAUUAGGUUGUUGGUGAGGUAAUAGCUCACCAAGCCUACGAUCGUUAACUGGUCUGAGAGGAUGAUCAGUCAGACUGGAACUGAGACACGGUCCAGACUCCUACGGGAGGCAGCAGUAAGGAAUCUUCCACAAUGGGCGAAAGCCUGAUGGAGCAACGCCGCGUGCAGGAUGAAGGCCUUCGGGUCGUAAACUGCUUUUAUGAGUGAAGAAUAUGACGGUAACUCAUGAAUAAGCACCGGCUAACUACGCGCCAGCAGCCGC